AUGCUAACGCGACAGGCCAUGGGUUGGAACAGAAGAAAGAGGGACAACCUUCAUCAAGUGUUAGCCCACAGAUAUGUCAAAAUCACAGAGAGGGCAAAACUGGAAGCUGCCAGCCUUAGCAAAAUCAAGAAGGAGCACAACCUUGAUCAGGAGACAAUACAGCAGUGGGUGUGUGAUGUCAGACAAUGGGCGGUUACAGAGAGAGUCUACACUACAGGUUGUACUGAAGAGCUAAGGGCUGACAUUGAGAACAUCACUGUAACCCUUUUGCGCAAGAAGACAGAUCUGUAUCGUUUACAUGAUAGCAACCAGGCAAGACAAAGAAAGAAAAAGAAAAUGACAGAGUUGAAGAAGAAGCUUCGCGAAAAGGUCUUGCAAUACAACACCGUAGUGGAAGGAGAUCCGAUUGACGAGGAAUUAGCUUGCAGUCUGACAGAGGGAUACAUCCUACCAUGGGAGAGACACAAAGAUGGCAACACGUUCAGGUUGAAGAGAUCUAUCUUCGACCAGGUAAUGCUGCUGAAACGCUUGGAGGAGGAGCAGAGCAUCCUGGUAAAGGAGAUGUCUCAGCACAUCAAGUACCUUCUGAAGCAAGUGCAAGAAGUCGAGUCACUUAGAGGACAGACUUUGGAGCGCAUCAAAACCAGCAGUUUCAGUGACCUGACAGAGGACGCUACACAUGGGCUCAACAGUGUCCUCAGUCGGAGGGGUCACUCACUUAGAAGUCAACACCAACAGGCUGUUAAAGCAUACAGCAGUAUAGCCACUAUGGAAUGUGAUUUUCUUUCCAUACAGGAGGACAUUGAGGAGUGGGAUGACAAUGGGUUCACCAGCCCUGAAUCUGAGGAAGACACCUAAAGACUGCUGCCAAACAACACAGAGGAACUGGAGAUUUGUACAAAAAAAUCUUGCCUUUGUUUUUAAAUAGCUGUACCAAAGUAUCUACAGGAAAGUUUGUGUAGAGUCUGUAUUUUUAUAAAAGGAAAAAAAAAAUAGAAAAACAUUGUUUUAUUUAUCUCUUCUAACAUUUGAGUUUGCUGGUUUCAGACCAAAACUGCUUAUUGCUGCUUUAAAUAAUUAAUUGUCAUAUUUGCAUGGAAAAAUGUAAUGAAGAUUCAAUGGCAGUCUGUGUGUAAUUGUAACAAGUAUAAUACUAAUGCUUUUUUUUUAUUUCCAUAAUAUAUUUGGAUUUAUAUUUGUUUGCAAUAUGCAUAUGCAUGUACCCAUAUUAUUUUGUAGUUAUUUGUAGUUAUAGCAUACUUUAUGUUUUCUAUAUCUACAUGUAAAUACAGACAGACAAAUCCAAACAUUUUUCACUUACAUCCUGUAAAACUGUAUAAAGAAAUGUCUUGCAUAUGCACAACUUUAAUAAACCCAUUUA
rnacentral:lncRNA from 1 species